AUUCCCCCCACUAAGAGCUUAACAGCCAACAGACUUUGGAGCAGCCACCGGUCUUAAAAAGCACUUCCCUCUCUUAUGGUAUCACAGAAAUGUGCUUUGCCCACAGUAUUAGUGGCAGGCUCUGACUGACAUGGGAGGAAAAAAAACACCACCACAACGUAUUGGCAAUGCCUUUUACACCACCAGAAGCAUAAAUGCAAAGGAGGACAAAUACAUGCAAAGUAUGCCAGGGAAGGAAACUGACAAAGCAGCAAAGGCAAAUUUUUUUCAAACUGUCUUGAAAUAUAACUGUUGGAUAAGUCUUGGAAAAAGGGCUUUAAUAAAUUUUACUGUAAGCUUCUACAAAAAAA